rnacentral:rRNA from 1 species
CAGUCGCCACGGGAAUACGUAGGUGGCAAGCGUUGUCCGGAAUUAUUGGGCGUAAAGGGCUCGCAGGCGUUUUCUUAAGUCUGAUGUGGAAGCCCCCGGCUCAACCGGGGAGGGUCAUUGGAAACUGGGAAACUUGAGUGCAGAAGAGGAGAGUGGAAUUCCACGUGUAGCGGUGAAAUGCGUAGAGAUGUGGAGGAACACCGGUGGCGAAAGCGGCUCUCUGGCUUGUAACUGACGCUGAGGCUCGAAAGCGUGGGGAGCAAUCAGGAUUAGAUACCCCUGUAGUCCCUGUCUCUUAUAC